GGGCUGUUAGCUCAGUCAGUUGAAUGUGGCGCUAACAACGCCAAGGUUGCGGGUUUGAUUCCCCUUCAGUCCU
rnacentral:tRNA from 1 species